UUCGUAGGCGGGAUAUUAAGUCAGUGGUGAAAUCCUACAGCUUAACUGUAGAACUGCCAUUGAUACUGAUAUUCUUGAAUUCACCUGAAGUAAGCGGAACAUGACAUGUAGCGGUGAAAUGCUUAGAUAUGUCAUAGAACACCGAUUGCGAAGGCAGCUUACUAAAGUGAUAUUGACGCUAAGGAACGAAAGCGUGGGGAGCGAACAGGAUUAGAUACCCUGGUAGUCC
rnacentral:rRNA from 1 species